UUCCGGGAGGUGUUUGUACACACAGCCCACAGGCCAGCAGCCCCUCUUCUCUCCUCCUCAGGGAAGGGCCAGGACAACAGGGCUGCUAACAACAGAUUUCAUGACACAGUCACCUCUGAGCUCUGUGAAGCCAAAGAAAGCCUGUUGGGGAGAGAACUGGAGAAUGGCCAUAUUCACCAGAGACAGCUCGCAAGAGGUCUACUUACCCACUGUCCAAUAGCGGCCCUCUCAAACUAAGGGAUACAUGGAGUCUAGAGCCCCAGCUGCCUACCCCACACUGCCCCAGUAGGUCCUGGCAUUUUCCUGCUGCACAGGUAUUCAGGAGGUAUUUCCAUGGCACGGGGCUCUGGAGCAAGUCUUCCAUGCAGUUUAGGUCAGCCUGUACCCUGGACCAGGAGGCAUAGACCACUGAUACCAGCUUACUAGCUAUGAAGACAUUUGGGAAGCAUGACACAAUGGCCCUGACUGCCUGCUUAAAAGUUUCUGAAGACUUCUGAUCCACAUGGACACAGUAUAUGUUCUGAGGGGUAUACACAGCUCGCAGCAACCUUUCAAAGUUCUCAAUCUUCUCAUGAACCACCAUUGAGUACGCAAUGGGGAAGUUGGCCUCUUCUUUGCUCAGUGGGACCUGUAUAAACUUCCUCUUGUUCUUGAAGUACUCACAAUCUGCUGUCAUGCUAAGGUAGUCGGCCUCUGUGAAGAGCUGCCGCUUCUUCUUAAUUUCCAGGUUAUUCAGCAGAGCCUGGGUCACUGCUUUCUGCUCCCCUCGAAUGACCCCUGAACAGUUGAUGGAACUCUGUGCUGGCAGCUUCAGGGUCUUAUACAGGAAAUCCCUGCAGUACUGGCUUUGAAAUUCCUCUGAGUCCAGAUCCAUGACAUCGAAAUCACACUUCAAUCUGAGGGACAGUUUCAGGGCAAUGAUGGCCAGCAGCAUGUAGCAGCCCAGGGUCCACACAUGAUAGUGCCAACAGAGCCUCCUCCAUGAAACCAUCUUCACAGGUGGGGACCAUCAAGCCUCGCCCAGCAGAGGAGGGGGUGGGCUCUCUAAACAAAACAAAGAGCCUCUGAUUAUAAACUAAACAUGUUCCAAGGAAUGUCAAGUUCAACUCCAGACUUCUGAUGGCAGAAAAGAUCUCUUCUCUAGAGAAAUAGCUUAGUGAAAACCAGGCAAGGAACCCAUCCACCAGGCUUGCUGAGGGAGACUUAAAACUGCCCUACAAAGCAGCUGCCAGACUGCCACAGGGACCAGUUCUACCCUUACUCUGGAGACAGGGAAACAUGGAGCUGGGCUCCCUGAGGUUAAAGGUGCAGUUAGCUGGAGGAAGUAUCUACCCUUCAUCCGUUUUCCUCCUUCCCACCCCUUGCUGCCCUAGAAUGAACUUUCAUUUGGGGUCCAGAAUUUCUGGGUCUGAAAACAAAUUAUAUGAAAUUGACUACCAUCAGUUCUAGAAUCAAGCCCCUUUAAAAGGAAGCAAUAUUUCUUGCUUCUGUUUGUUAAUCUCUAUAUUAAGACUCUUCACAUCCCGUAUCAUUCAAAACUCAGAUCCUGUCUCUGGCUAACCUUUCAUUUUAAAAUAUCCUUAAAGAAAUAUUAA